rnacentral:lncRNA from 1 species
CAGCAGCAGUCGCAGCUUCUCGGGGGGCUCCACGCCCGCGUCCAGCAGCAGCGGCACCACCGGCACCAGGGGGUCCCGCAGCCGCGCCCCCCCCGCCUCCGCCCCCAUCGCCAGGUCCUGGGGACGGCGCUGUCACCGCGGGGUCCCCAACACCCCACAUCCAUCCCCACCAGGUCCUGGGGUGUCCCCUCAGUGUCCCCAUCACCAGGUCCUGGGGACAGUGGUGUCACCUUGGGGUCCCCAACACCCCCUGGUUGUCACCCCAACACCCCACAUCCCCAUCAUCAGGUCACCCUGGGGUGUCACCAUGGGGUGCCCAAACUCCCGUGGCUGUCCCCUCAGUGUCCCCAACCCCCCGUGGCUGUCACCCCAUGUCCCCAGCACCCCACGUCCCCAUCAUCAGGUCACCUUGGGGUGUCACCUUGGGGUGUCACCUUGGGGUCCCCACCCCCCUGUGGCUGUCACCCCACGUCCCCACCACCCCACCCACCGCUAUCCGAGCGUCACAGGGCUGGGGACGGGGACACCUCCGGGUGCUACGGGGACCCCGACGGGCGUGAGGACCCCGGUGUCCCCUGGGUGUCCCCUGGGUGUCCCCUGGGUGUCACCUGCUCGACGGCGCAGAGCCGCUCCACGGUGCCCUUGAAGCGCCGCAUGCAGGCGUCCACCAGGCUGAGGUGGGUGGCGUACUGCGGGGACAUGGGGACACGGGGACAUGGGGACACGGGGACACGUGGCACGGCCACCACGGGGGGGACACGGCCCCCUGCUGCCCCCCCCCAGACCUUGCUCAGCUCCUUCUGGUACUGGGGCAUCUUCUUGAGGAUGUGCGAGAGCUCCUUGAGGGUGGCCUGGGGGACACGGGGACGGGUUGGGGACGUUGGGGACAUUGGAGACGUUGGGGACAGGGGGGACAUUGGGGAGAGAGGAGAUAUGGACAGGGGGACACUGGGGGACAUGGGGACAUUGGGAACAUGGGGACAUUGGGAAAGUUGGGGACAUUGGGGACACUGGGGACAUUUGGGGACAUUGGGGAGAGAGGAGACAUGGACAUGGGGACAUUGGGGACAUUGGGAAAGUUGGGGACAUUGGGGACAUUGGGGAGAGAGGAGAUA